rnacentral:rRNA from 2 species
AGGCUUAACACAUGCAAGUCGAGCGCCCCGCAAGGGGAGCGGCAGACGGGUGAGUAACGCGUGGGAAUCUACCCAUCUCUACGGAACAACUCCGGGAAACUGGAGCUAAUACCGUAUACGUCCUUCGGGAGAAAGAUUUAUCGGAGAUGGAUGAGCCCGCGUUGGAUUAGCUAGUUGGUGGGGUAAUGGCCUACCAAGGCGACGAUCCAUAGCUGGUCUGAGAGGAUGAUCAGCCACAUUGGGACUGAGACACGGCCCAA